rnacentral:rRNA from 1 species
GGGUUGUGAGGUUAAGCGACUAAGCGUACACGGUGGAUGCCCUGGCAGUCAGAGGCGAUGAAGGGCGUGCUAAUCUGCGAUAAGCGCCGGUAAGGUGAUAUGAACCGUUAUAACCGGCGAUACCCGAAUGGGGAAACCCAGUGUGAUUCGUCACACUAUCAUUAACUGAAUCCAUAGGUUAAUGAGGCGAACCGGGGGAACUGAAACAUCUAAGUACCCCGAGGAAAAGAAAUCAACCGAGAUUCCCCCAGUAGCGGCGAGCGAACGGGGAGGAGCCCAGAGCCUGAAUCAGCAUGUGUGUUAGUGGAAGCGUCUGGAAAGGCGCGCGAUACAGGGUGACAGCCCCGUACACAAAAGCGCAUGUGCUGUGAGCUCGAUGAGUAGGGCGGGACACGUGGUAUCCUGUCUGAAUAUGGGGGGACCAUCCUCCAAGGCUAAAUACUCCUGACUGACCGAUAGUGAACCAGUACCGUGAGGGAAAGGCGAAAAGAACCCCGGCGAGGGGAGUGAAAAAGAACCUGAAACCGUGUACGUACAAGCAGUGGGAGCCCCACCACUAAGCCAGUGGUGAACUCCACAUACGCAUCCUUUGCUGAAGGCAAUGGUUAACGGAGCGAAAGCGACGUUCAACCGCAAAACAAGCAGAGGGGGCUUAGUGGUGGGGUGACUGCGUACCUUUUGUAUAAUGGGUCAGCGACUUAUAUUCUGUAGCAAGGUUAACCG